UGAAGGGGCUUACAGAUCGUAGGUACAUU
rnacentral:piRNA from 1 species